UGGUAGUCCACGCCCUAAACGAUGCGAACUAGGUGUUGGGGAAGGAGACUUUCUUAGUACCGCAGCUAACGCGUGAAGUUCGCCGCCUGGGGAGUACGGUCGCAAGAUUAAAACUCAAAGGAAUUGACGGGGACCCGCACAAGCGGUGGAUGAUGUGGAUUAAUUCGAUGCAACGCGAAAAACCUUACCUACCCUUGACAUGUCAGGAAUCCUGCUGAGAGGUGGGAGUGCCCGAAAGGGAGCCUGAACACAGGUGCUGCAUGGCUGUCGUCAGCUCGUGUCGUGAGAUGUUGGGUUAAGUCCCGCAACGAGCGCAACCCUUGUCAUUAAUUGCCAUCAUUGAGUUGGGCACUUUAAUGAGACUGCCGGUGACAAACCGGAGGAAGGUGGGGAUGACGUCAAGUCCUCAUGGCCCUUAUGGGUAGGGCUUCACACGUCAUACAAUGGUCGGUACAGAGGGUUGCCAACCCGCGAGGGGGAGCCAAUCCCACAAAGCCGAUCGUAGUCCGGAUCGCAGUCUGCAACUCGACUGCGUGAAGUCGGAAUCGCUAGUAAUCGUGGAUCAGCAUGUCACGGUGAAUACGUUCCCGGGUCUUGUACACACCGCCCGUCACACCAUGGGAGUGGGUUCCACCAGAAGUAGGUAGUCUAACCGCAAGGGGGGCGCUUACCACGGUGGGAUUCAUGACUGGGGUGAAGU
rnacentral:rRNA from 1 species